AAAAUAAUAGCUUGAAGCAAAUCUCAAGGCUUAUUGGUAAACAUGAAUCCCUUUAUCAUUAAUGAGAAGGGAGCCAAGAUUCGGAGUGAGUGGUAAUAAGAAUUGAAAUUGUCAUCUUCAAUAUAUACUAAUUGCUAAAUUCCUGAAAGUCCAAACUGGCCGACUAUUCACACUCACCAAAGCUUCUACAAGAUCAUGCAAUCUUUCUUUCUCCUCUUAUUCCCUCCCUU
rnacentral:lncRNA from 1 species